rnacentral:rRNA from 1 species
UACGAGGGGGGCGAGCGUUGUUCGGAAUUAUUGGGCGUAAAGGGUGCGUAGGCGGUUUGUCGCGUCUGCCGUGAAAGUCCGGGGCUCAACCCCGGGAGGCGGGCGGAUACUGUCGGGCUAGAGUCCGGAAGGGGCGAGUGGAAUUCCUGGUGUAGCGGUGAAAUGCGUUGAUAUCAGGAGGAACACCCAUGGCGAAGGCAGCAUACUGGCCGGCAUCUGACGCUGAGGCGCGAAAAGC